CCGCAACCCACAAUGUAAUUGAAAUACUUAAGAUCCGUACUAACAUUGAGCGCAAGACCAUGACUAGUAAUAUUUCGGCGUAAAUGAAUACCAAUUGCUGCAAUUUUAUCGUUUUCUGUUACCCACACACCGGUGUUUUUUGUUGUAUGAGCUUUUUCGAUGCCAAAGCUUUUACAUGUUGCUAUAAUCGCUUGCUCUAGCCUUGACACAUAUUCACGUGGACUUAAUCCAAAGGACUUCAAAUCAAUAAUAGGAUAUGCAAGUAUUUGACCAGGACCAUGAAAUGUAGUUUGCCCACCACGCAAUGCUUUAACAACUUUAGCCUUAGGGAAGCCUUUGGUAAAAUUAAUUGAAGAUUCCCUUCUUCCCAGUGUAUACACUGGACAAACUUGAGAAGUGAUAAUCGUUGGCUUCGGUGGCUGUUCAACCUUAUUUGCUUUAUAAUUUAAAUAAUGUUGAACAAAUCGAUUUUGUAACGCUCCAACCCUCUCAUAGCUCACGAGAGGAUUUUUUUUGGUGAUAAAAGAAAUAUGCUGGAUUUUAUUCAUUCAAUACACUUAACUCUGAUUUAUGCUGAUAAUAAAAAGAAUAUUAUAAAAGAGUGUAAAAAUGUAAAAAGAGGAAAAGAAUCUAUGAAUUCGGCUUAACCGGAGCGAGCAUCUAAAGCCGUAGAGCAGGUGCAAUUAUUUAACGACAGUUGCUAGGAGGAUGGCUUGAAUGUAUACUCUUGCAGGUUUUCUCCAAUUGAUCAAUCUAAAAGAAUCAAAAAAAAUAGAACAUAUUAAAAUUCAGUUUUUACAUUUCUGAGUUAUUAGCUGAAUACAUAAGAAUAUAUCUAAACUGUUUCAAUCACCCGUGUUUAAACGAUUAUAACUUGUAAAAUUUAAAG